AGGAGAAGUCGUAACAAGGUUUCCGUAGGUGAACNUGCGGAAGGAUCAUUGAAUCGAUCGAAUNCACACCGGUAANCACANUANGAGAAANUUUGACAAGGUUUCUGUAGGUGAACCUGCGGAAGGAUCAUUGAAUCUAUCGAAUCCACACCGGUAACCAUCCACCCCUCUUGCUUAAAACCCAAGGGGCGCCAGUCCCCUGACCCAGGGCUUGCCCUGGUGUUCAGGUCUGGCGGGGUAGGCUCCGGCCUGCCUGGUUAAUUAUAACAAACCUUUAACACACACCAAACCUCAAACCAAACUGAAGCUUUUGGAAGGGAGGCUUUCAGCCCCCAUCCACAAACCAAAGACAACUCUCAACAACGGAUAUCUUGGCUCCCGUAUCGAUGAAGAACGCAGCGAAAUGCGAUACGUAGUGUGAAUUGCAGAAUUCCGUGAACCAUGGAAUCUUUGAACGCAAAUUGCGCCCGCGGCCUCGGCUAAGGGCAUGUCUGCCUCAGCGUCGGUUUACACCCCUCGCUCCCUUCUACUGGGAGCGGAUCUGGCAGUCUCAGUCGCCCUUUAUUGGGCUGACUGGGUCUGCUGAAGUGCAGAGGUUUGAGCAUGGACCCCGUUUGCAGGGCAAUAGCUUGGUAGGUAGGCGUCAGCCUGCAUUAGCCUGCUGUUGCCUGAGGGGACUUUGCUGGGAGCCUAGCAGGAAUUGGGUUUGGCUUAGGCCUUCCCAACUCUCUUUUUCGACCUGAGCUCAGGCAAGAUUACCCGCUGAACUUAAGCAUACUAAANGGGGGGGGGAAGAANNGCGGGCGGCCGGANCUUUACUCCUUCNACCUGAGCUCAGGCAAGAUUACCCGCUGAACUUAAGCAUAUCAAUAAGCGGAGGA
rnacentral:rRNA from 1 species